GAUGAACGCUGGCGGCGUGCUUAACACAUGCAAGUCGAACGGAAAGGCUCCUGCUUGCAGGGGUACUCGAGUGGCGAACGGGUGAGUAACACGUGGGUGAUCUGCCCUGCACUUCGGGAUAAGCCUGGGAAACUGGGUCUAAUACCGGAUAGGACGAUGGUUUGGAUGCCAUUGUGGAAAGUUUUUUCGGUGUGGGAUGAGCUCGCGGCCUAUCAGCUUGUUAGUGGGGUAAUGGCCUACCAAGGCGUCGACGGGUAGCCGGCCUGAGAGGGUGUACGGCCACAUUGGGACUGAGAUACGGCCCAGACUCCUACGGGAGGCAGCAGUGGGGAAUAUUGCACAAUGGGCGCAAGCCUGAUGCAGCGACGCCGCGUGGGGGAUGACGGCCUUCGGGUUGUAAACUCCUUUCGCUAGGGACGAAGCGCAAGUGACGGUACCUGGAGAAGAAGCACCGGCUAACUACGUGC
rnacentral:rRNA from 1 species